AUUGAACGCUGGCGGCAGGCCUAACACAUGCAAGUCGAGCGGAUGAGAGGAGCUUGCUUCUCGAUUCAGCGGCGGACGGGUGAGUAAUGCCUAGGAAUCUGCCUGAUAGUGGGGGACAACGUUUCGAAAGGAACGCUAAUACCGCAUACGUCCCACGGGAGAAAGCAGGGGACCUUCGGGCCUUGCGCUAUCAGAUGAGCCUGGGUCGGAUUAGCUAGUUGGUGAGGUAAUGGCUCACCAAGGCGACGAUCCGUAACUGGUCUGAGAGGAUGGUCAGUCACACUGGAACUGAGACACGGUCCAGACUACUACGGGAGGCAGUAGUGGGGAAUAGUGGACAAUGGGCGAAAGCCGGAUCCAGCCAUGCUGCGUGUGUGAAGAAGGGCUUCGGAUUGUAAAGCACUUUAAGUUGGGAGGAAGGGCAGUAAGUUAAUACCUUGCUGUUUUGACGUUACCGACAGAAUAAGCACCGGCUAACUCUGUGCCAGCCGCCGGAGUAAUAC
rnacentral:rRNA from 1 species